rnacentral:rRNA from 1 species
UGGCGGACGGGUGAGUAACGCGUGGGCAACCUGGCCUGUACAGGGGGAUAACACUUAGAAAUAGGUGCUAAUACCGCAUAACGGGAGAAGCCGCAUGGCUUUUUCCUGAAAACUCCGGUGGUACAGGAUGGGCCCGCGUCUGAUUAGCCAGUUGGCAGGGUAACGGCCUACCAAAGCGACGAUCAGUAGCCGGCAUGAGAGGGCGGACAGCCACACUGGGACUGAGACACGGCCCAGACUCCUACGGGAGGCAGCAG